GACGAACGCUGGCGGCGCGCCUAACACAUGCAAGUCGAACGGAGUUAUUUCAGCAGAAGCUUUCGGGUGGACGCAGGGAUAACUUAGUGGCGAACGGGUGAGUAACACGUGAGGAACCUGCCCUGGAGUGGGGGAUAACAGUUGGAAACGACUGCUAAUACCGCAUAAGCCCACAGCACCGCAUGGUGCAGUGGGAAAAGGAGCAAUUCGCUUUGAGAUGGCCUCGCGUCCGAUUAGCUAGUUGGUGAGGUAACGGCCCACCAAGGCAACGAUCGGUAGCCGGACUGAGAGGUUGAACGGCCACAUUGGGACUGAGACACGGCCCAG
rnacentral:rRNA from 1 species